UCGAGUUAGGGUCUCUCUAGGGCCCGACCUCCCAACCCUGUGUCUACCCUACCUCACCGUUGCUUCGGCGGGCCGGGCUUGACCACAACUGGUCUUGACCGCCGGGCCCACGCGGCCUGGAGAGCUGUCCGCCGACGGCCAUCACGCAAACUCUGUAUUGAAAUUGUGUCGUCUGAGAUGAAAACAUAUUUAAUCAAAACAA
rnacentral:misc_RNA from 1 species